UUUUAGGGUUAGGGUUAGGGUUUUAGGGCUAGGGUUAGGGUUUUAGAGUUAGGGUUUUAGGGUUAGAGUUACGGAAAAAGUGAAAAACGAAGAAAUUGGAGGAGGAGGGGGAGGGAGCAAAAAAAGUAUUUCCGAAAAUAGUAGAUGAAAAGCAGGGGAAAAAACUAAAAGCAGUAGAAAUGCACGAACGAUUGUGGUGGUGCCAUGAAGUAAACAUGCUUCAGAUACACUCGUUUAUUCAUACAAACGUAACUGAGAUGAAAUAUG